CAGACGUAUUCCUAGGCACCUAAGUGUCUCCAUUUAAAGCACAGGGAACUUAAGUUGUGGAUGAUGGUUAUGUGGGAAAGCUCAACAACUUUUCUGUGUUUGUGGUGUCUUCGAUCUAUAUUUUUCUUCUUGAUAUUGAACUGGAAGAUGUAGAGGAUGCUUGAUCACUGGCUUUGAAGUGUCCUUUGCUGUUUGCUCACUAACAACACCCCCUUCCCUCCCAAACAUUUUGUUUGCAAGAACAGACUGAACUAAGUGGCUACAGACCAGUGCAUGAUCUCUUCCACCAAAGCAAUGGGGCUGAAGUGAGGGAAGAAUUGGAUAGAGAUGCAGUCAUAGCAUCUCUGAGUAUGACCCUGUCAGAUGUCAUCUACUGAGCUAGGAGCCUGUACAUCCAAGGAGUCAGCACGUUCCAUAGGGCAGAGGACUGGACUGGAUGCAGGGGACUUAGGCUGGAUUUAGUCCUUUGACUUCACCCCUGCCUGUUCCUCCUUCAGUGCUUGUCUGAUAUCUCCACAUAGAACACAAAGUCUUCGGGAUGGAGUUUCGCUCCUAUUGAUGUGUAUAGCACUUUGCACAAUGAAGACUUCCUCUCAGCUGUGGCUUGAUACUGCAAUUCCCAAAAUCAAUAGAAACAGCAAUGACACUGUGUGCAGUUCUGAUGAACUAAUGCUGCAGAUCCUUAAUAACAGGGAAGGAA
ensembl:lncRNA